rnacentral:rRNA from 1 species
UACGUAGGUGGCAAGCGUUGUCCGGAUUUAUUGGGCGUAAAGAGCUCGUAGGCGGUGUGUCACGUCGGCCGUGAAAACCUGCAGCUUAACUGUGGGCGUGCGGUCGAUACGGGCAUCACUGGAGUUCGGCAGGGGAGACUGGAAUUCCUGGUGUAGCGGUGAAAUGCGCAGAUAUCAGGAGGAACACCGGUGGCGAAGGCGGGUCUCUGGGCUGAAACUGACGCUCAUGCACGAAAGCGUGGGGAGCAAACAAG